rnacentral:rRNA from 1 species
CGAACGCUGGCGGCGUGCUUAACACAUGCAAGUCGAACGGUGAUGGGGGAGCUUGCUCUUCUUGAUCAGUGGCGAACGGGUGAGUAACACGUGGGCAACCUGCCCCUGACUUCGGGAUAACGCUUCGAAAGGGGUGCUAAUACCGGAUAUCACCUCCCAGGACAUCCUGGGUGGUUGAAAGUUUUUCGGCUAGGGAUGGGCCCGCGGCCUAUCAGCUUGUUGGUGGGGUAAUGGCCUACCAAGGCGACGACGGGUAGCCGGCCUGAGAGGGCGACCGGCCACACUGGGACUGAGACACGGCCCAGACUCCUACGGGAGGCAGCAGUGGGGAAUAUUGCGCAAUGGGCGAAAGCCUGACGCAGCAACGCCGCGUGAGGGAUGACGGCCUCGGUUGUAAACCGUCUUCUAGCAGGGACGAAGUGAAAGUGACU